rnacentral:rRNA from 1 species
UAAUUGAAGAGUUUGAUCAUGGCUCAGAUUGAACGCUGGCGGCAGGCCUAACACAUGCAAGUCGAGCGGAAACGACAUCAUUGAAGCUUCGGUGAAUUUGAUGGGCGUCGAGCGGCGGACGGGUGAGUAAUGCUUAGGAAUUUGCCCAGUCGAGGGGGACAACAGUUGGAAACGACUGCUAAUACCGCAUACGCCCUACGGGGGAAAGAGGGGGAUGCUUCGGCACCUUUCGCGAUUGGAUAAGCCUAAGUGAGAUUAGCUAGUUGGUGAGGUAAGGGCUCACCAAGGCGACGAUCUCUAGCUGGUUUGAGAGGAUGAUCAGCCACACUGGAACUGAGACACGGUCCAGACUCCUACGGGAGGCAGCAGUGGGGAAUAUUGCACAAUGGGCGCAAGCCUGAUGCAGCCAUGCCGCGUGUAUGAAGAAGGCCUUCGGGUUGUAAAGUACUUUCAGCGAGGAGGAAAGGUUAGCGGUUAAUACCCGUUAGCUGUGACGUUACUCGCAGAAGAAGCACCGGCUAACUCCGUGCCAGCAGCCGCGGUAAUACGGAGGGUGCGAGCGUUAAUCGGAAUUACUGGGCGUAAAGCGCAUGCAGGC